rnacentral:rRNA from 1 species
GACGAACGCUGGCGGCGUGCUUAACACAUGCAAGUCGAACGGAAAGGCCUCUUUCGGGGGGUACUCGAGUGGCGAACGGGUGAGUAACACGUGAGUAACCUGCCCUUGACUUUGGGAUAACUUCAGGAAACUGGGGCUAAUACCGGAUAGGAGCUCCUGCUUCAUGGUGGGGGUUGGAAAGUUUCGGCGGUUGGGGAUGGACUCGCGGCUUAUCAGCUUGUUGGUGGGGUAGUGGCUUACCAAGGCUUUGACGGGUAGCCGGCCUGAGAGGGUGACCGGCCACAUUGGGACUGAGAUACGGCCCAGACUCCUACGGGAGGCAGCAGUGGGGAAUAUUGCACAAUGGGUGGAAGCCUGAUGCAGCAACGCCGUGUGCGGGAUGACGGCCUUCGGGUUGUAAACCGCUUUCGCUCAUGACGAAGCUUUGUGUGACGGUAGUGGGCAAAGAAGCACCGGCUAACUACGUG